UACGUAGGGGGCAAGCGUUGUCCGGAUUAUUGGGCGUAAAGAGCGUGUAGGCGGCCGUACAGGUCAGCUGUGAAAACUCGAGGCUCAACCUCGAGACGUCGGUUGAAACCGUACGGCUAGAGUCCAGAAGAGGAGAGUGGAAUUCCCGGUGUAGCGGUGAAAUGCGCAGAUAUCGGGAAGAACACCCGUGGCGAAGGCGGUUCUCUGGGACGGUACUGACGCUGAGACGCGAAAGCGUGGGGAGCGAACAGG
rnacentral:rRNA from 1 species